rnacentral:rRNA from 1 species
UACGUAGGCAGCGAGCGUUGUUCGGAGUUACUGGGCGUAAAGGGUGUGUAGGCGGUUGUUUAAGUUUGGUGUGAAAUCUCCCGGCUCAACUGGGAGGGUGCGCCGAAUACUGAAUGACUUGGAGUGCGGGAGAGGUGAGUGGAAUUCCUGGUGUAGCGGUGAAAUGCGCAGAUAUCAGGAGGAACACCGGUGGCGAAGGCGGGUCUCUGGGCCGAUACUGACGCUGAGGAGCGAAAGCAUGGGUAGCGAACAGG